CAGCAGCCGCGGGAAUACAGAGGGUGCAAGCGUUAAUCGGAAUUACUGGGCGUAAAGCGUGCGCAGACGGUUGCGUAAGUCAGAUGUGAAAGCCCCGGGCUCAACCUGGGAAUUGCAUUUGAGACUGCGUAGCUAGGGUGCGGAAGAGGGAAGCGGAAUUUCCGGUGUAGCGGUGAAAUGCGUAGAUAUCGGAAGGAACACCAGUGGCGAAAGCGGCUUCCUGGUCCAGCACCGACGUUCAGGCACGAAAGCGUGGGGAGCAAACAGGACUAGAUACCCCCGUAGUCCCUGUCUCUUAUAC
rnacentral:rRNA from 1 species